CCCAGGGACGCGGGCGACCUAUUUGUCGAAAAGAAUUGUUGUAUUGAAUAAUCCAUUAAUCGAGGAAGACGAGGACAGAGUCUAUAUAAUAUAACACUAUUUCCUUAAAUGUUGGUGAAACUCCGGGUUCAAAUUCAUAAAUUAAUAACCUACCUUUAGACCAAGGUCCAUUUCAGAUUACUUUAACCAAAUAGUAUUGUCAUAACAUUCCCAUUUAAUUUAAUUUCAGUUACCGAGAUCACGUUAGCCAACGGGAGGACCUACCUCAUGCUGAAUGGUUUUACAUUCACCAGAUAUUCUGAAACCAAGCUGGGGAUCCGGUAUAUCUGUACAUUAACAUCCAAAUGCAGAUCUUGUAUGGUGAUAUCCAAGGAUGGUACGAUAGUGAGACUAGUGGAAAAACAUGAACAUCCUCCACCCAAAUAUAUGAAAACAGCUAAUGGGCGCUAUGUGAAACUUUGAUCAAAUGUGGAAGAAAUCACCGUGACAAAUGGGAAAAAGUACCUCAUGGUGAACGGAUAUACCUUCACGAAACACUGCAUAGCUAAAACAGGGAUUCGAUACAUUUGCACGGUUACAAGGCGAUGCAGAUCAUUCUUUAUAAUGUCGCCUUCUCAGCGGAUUGUGAAGUUCGUAGAAAGACACAACCAUUUGCCACCACGGUACUAUAAAACAGCUGAUGGGCGAUAUAUUAAGGUAGCGAAUGAGGAUCCAUUGAAAAAUUGAGAGUAAUGCGCGUUGAUAAAUAUGACGUCACGGGAGGCGAUAUGCGAUUUCUGUCAAGGUUUAAUUUGAAAAGAUUGGAGUGGGUUCUCGCGUUUCCCUAUUAUAUGAAUUGUUAUAUAGUUACUCUAGGUAUAUAAAGUUGGUAGGUGAAAUUAGUUUAUUUCAAAAUAAAAUUAUCACAAUAGAAGAUAAAGAAAUCUAAAGCUUUGCAAUGUAACAUGCACUGUAAUCGCCGCUGUAUCAUUCAGUAUUUAUAGUUUUUCUUUUCUUAAAACUAGAGUUAUCCUAAUUAUUACCUAUUUUUAAGAUUAUCUUCAUAAUAUACUUUUCACUUUGUACCUGUUAGUAGACUUAAAUUCUGGAUCCAGUGAUCUUGUAAAAAAUUUUAAUAAAGUGUAUUUUUUCUAUAAAGUAAUGCAUUAUAAAUGAUAAUUUAUUGUCCGUUUGUAUGUUAUAAGUGUAAGUUCACUGUAAUAAAAAUAUAUGUGUUAAAUAUAAAACAUUUAUGUCAAAUUUUAAA